GAUGAACGCUGGCGGCGUGCUUAACACGUGCAAGUCGAGCGGAAAGGCCGAAGCUUGCUUCGGUACUCGAGUGGCGAACGGGUGAGUAACACGUGGGUGAUCUGCCCUGUACUUCGGGAUAAGCUUGGGAAACUGGGUCUAAUACCGGAUAUGACGAUCUCUUGGAUGGGGUUGUGGAAAGCUUUUGCGGUAUGGGAUGAGCUCGCGGCCUAUCAGCUUGUUGGUGGAGUAAUGGCCUACCAAGGCGUCGACGGGUAGCCGGCCUGAGAGGGUGUACGGCCACAUUGGGACUGAGAUACGGCCCAGACUCCUACGGGAGGCAGCAGUGGGGAAUAUUGCACAAUGGGCGCAAGCCUGAUGCAGCGACGCCGCGUGGGGGAUGACGGCCUUCGGGUUGUAAACUCCUUUCGCAAUCGACGAAGCCUUUUGGUGACGGUAGGUGGAGAAGAAGCACCGGCUAACUACGUG
rnacentral:rRNA from 1 species